rnacentral:rRNA from 1 species
AUUGAACGCUGGCGGCAUGCUUUACACAUGCAAGUCGAACGGCAGCGGAGAGUGCUUGCACUCUGCCGGCGAGUGGCGAACGGGUGAGUAAGAUAUUGGAACGUACCGAGUAAUGGGGGAUAACUAUCCGAAAGGAUAGCUAAUACCGCAUACGCUUUGAGAAGGAAAGUGGGGGCUCUUCGGACCUCACGUUAUUCGAGCGGCCAAUAACUGAUUAGCUAGUUGGAGGGGUAAAGGCCCACCAAGGCGACGAUCAGUAGCGGGUCUGAGAGGAUGAUCCGCCACACUGGGACUGAGACACGGCCCAGACUCCUACGGGAGGCAGCAGUGGGGAAUUUUGGACAAUGGGCGCAAGCCUGAUCCAGCCAUGCCGCGUGUCUGAAGAAGGCCUUCGGGUUGUAAAGGACUUUUGUUAGGGAAGAAAAGGAGUAUGUUAAUACCAUACUCUGCUGA